AAGUCGUAACAAGGUAUCCGUAGGUGAACCUGCGGAUGGAUCAUUAAUGAUUCAUUUUACACAUAUGUGCACUUAAUAUUUUACGAGGUUGUCUCUUCGGAGCAACCUCCAACAAAACUUGAACCUUACCACUUAAGAUAACCAAGAAAUUAUUGACAACUUUUAGCAAUGGAUCUCUUGGCUCUC
rnacentral:misc_RNA from 1 species